rnacentral:rRNA from 1 species
CGGCGUGCCUAAUACAUGCAAGUCGUGCGGUAAGGCUCUGCACUUUUUAUUCGAUCGGGAUUUUAUCCUACGCCGUGGCCGGCUAGCCAUGGCAGAAAGAUCGAAUACGGAGUGUAGAGUACACGAGCGGCGGACGGGUGAGUAACGCGUAAGAACCUACCCCAAACUGAGGGAUAACUGCUCGAAAGAGUAGCUAAUACCGCAUGUGCUCUACGGAGUAAAGCUUCGGCGGUUUGGGAAGGGCUUGCGUCUGAUUAGCUAGUUGGUAAGGUAACGGCUUACCAAGGCGACGAUCGGUAGCUGGUUUGAGAGGAUGAUCAGCCACACUGGGACUGAGACACGGCCCAGACUCCUACGGGAGGCAGCAGUAGGGAAUUUUCCACAAUGGGCGAAAGCCUGAUGGAGCGACGCCGCGUGCAGGAUGAAGGCCUUUGGGUCGUAAACUGCUUUUCUCUGUGACGAUUAUGACGGUAGCAGAGGAAUAAGGGUCGGCUAACUACGUGCCAGCCGCCGCCGUAACAC